UGGGGAAUAUUGCACAAUGGGCGCAAGCCUGAUGCAGCAACGCCGCGUGAACGAUGAAGUUCUUCGGAUCGUAAAGUUCUGUUGCAGGGGAAGAUAAUGACGGUACCCUGUGAGGAAGCCCCGGCUAACUACGUGCCAGCAGCCGCGGUAAUACGUAGGGGGCUAGCGUUAUCCGGAUUUACUGGGCGUAAAGGGUGCGUAGGUGGUCUUUCAAGUCGGUGGUUAAAGGCUACGGCUCAACCGUAGUUAGCCUCCGAAACUGGAAGACUUGAGUGCAGGAGAGGAAAGUGGAAUUCCCAGUGUAGCGGUGAAAUGCGUAGAUAUUGGGAGGAACACCAGUAGCGAAGGCGGCUUUCUGGACUGCAACCGACACUGAGGCACGAAAGCGUGGGUAGCAAACAGG
rnacentral:rRNA from 1 species